rnacentral:rRNA from 1 species
GUUGAACGCUGGCGGCAUGCCUUACACAUGCAAGUCGAACGGUAACAGGUCUUCGGAUGCUGACGAGUGGCGAACGGGUGAGUAAUACAUCGGAACGUGCCUAGUAGUGGGGGAUAACUACUCGAAAGAGUGGCUAAUACCGCAUGAGAUCUACGGAUGAAAGCAGGGGAUCGCAAGACCUUGUGCUACUAGAGCGGCCGAUGGCAGAUUAGGUAGUUGGUGGGAUAAAAGCUUACCACGCCGACGAUCUGUAGCUGGUCUGAGAGGACGAUCAGCGACACUGGGACUGAGACACGGCCCAGACUCCUACGGGAGGCAGCAGUGGGGAAUUUUGGACAAUGGGCGCAAGCCUGAUCCAGCAAUGCCGCGUGCAGGAUGAAGGCCUUCGGGUUGUAAACUGCUUUUGUACGGAACGAAAAGCCCUGGGUUAAUACCCUGGGGUCAUGACGGUACCGUAAGAAUAAGCACCGGCUAACUACGUGCCAGCAGCCGCGGUAACAC